CAAACUUCAAAAACCCACCAAAUCGUCAUCGUUUUUUAGUCGCCGGCGUCGUCAUCGUCGAAGCUUCUUCUUUAGCCGAAGAAUCUCUCUGGCCAACUUUCGUCAUUAUCUCUUUCGCUGGCUUGAAUGGCAGUCCGGUACGGCUCCGGUGCGGCGACCCUAAUCACGGGGUCACCGGCGAAUGGUAGUCCGGUUUCAGUCACCACACAAUCACCUUCGUCGUCACCAUCAUCUUCUCCGUCGACGUCAUCUCUGUUGGCGUCUUCUCCUUUAUUGUUGUUGAUUUCAAAGGAAUUAUGCUAAAUUAUGUAGUUUCGGUUAGCAAUCAAUGUUUCGGUUAAUGUAGUAAUUGGAAUUCAGAAAUUGCUUUUCUUUAUUUAUAAACACUAUCGAAGAACACUAUCGAAGAA